rnacentral:rRNA from 1 species
UACGUAGGGUGCAAGCGUUGUUCGGAAUCAUUGGGCGUAAAGCGCGUGUAGGCUGUUAAUUAAGUCAGAUGUGAAAUCCCUGGGCUCAACCGAGGAAGUGCAUCUGAAACUAUUUAGCUAGAGGACGGCAGAGGGAGGUGGAAUUCCAGGUGUAGAGGUGAAAUUCGUAGAUAUCUGGAGGAACACCGGUGGCGAAGGCGGCCUCCUGGACCGUUCCUGACGCUGAGACGCGAAAGCGUGGGUAGCAAACAGG